UCCACCUUCAUCCUCUCGUGCCUGCCUCCAGAUCCACUCAUUUGCAAACUGCUGAGGUUUAUGACUUUGAACAGCAUGUUCAUUACCCACCAAAUCUAAUUUAUGGAAUGCAACGUAACCUAUUUAUAAAGUACAAUUGUGGAAGGACGGGCGAACGUGGAGAAGACUGGGUUGGGUGUUUGGAAUGUUGGAGGUCAAACACAACAGAUUCCAGUUCUUCUAAUGGUGGAAAACUGAAAACCACAGAAAAUCCCCAUCAUCAGACGAAGUGUGUGAAGAGGUUCUAUAAUUCUGAAUAAUUACCUGAGAUAGUCUGUCAGGUCUCUGAAUGGGCUGGGUUACAAUCACCAGACAGUCAACCACACAAACAACUUGUGGAUCCUCACAAAGGAUGUUGUACACAUCACAUUGAAAGAGCGUGGCAGACAAUAAAGGGACAGGUCUGGAGGCUAAAGGGCAAUCGGACCAAAAAGAGUUUAAAGAAGCAUCCCCAUUUUAUUGAGUGGACGUACUGGUUGGGUAAAGAAAAUAAGAAAGGAGUGCUCUCUCAACUCUUCAAUGACCGAAUAUUAGUGUAUCAGCUGUAAGAUUUUCACUCUUAGCAUUGUCAUGACUCGCUCUCCUUGGUGAGGAUCGAAGGUGCCAGAUCAGCUCGGCACAGGGCUGACAGAUAUGCACCCCCUGGAGGAAAUGAAGCUGGCAGUACACGGUGCCUAUUUAAAUAGCGUCCCUUUAAAUGCGCGCAACCCCUGCAAACUCUAUUUUGCCAAAAACAACAGAAUCUCAACUUUUCAUUUAUAUCAACCAAUACAAUAUCUUUGAAAUUACGAUCCAACAGCAAAUGAAUGUGUUUCAUUCUUUUGACAGGAUUAUAAACAUGUUUUUUAGGUCACUCCACGUAAAAUGUUUUGAUACGUUAAACGGGAGACUCUGAAUUCCAAUGCUUACAAACAUAUCACUGUCCGAUGAACAAGCUCUGCGUCAACCCUCAAGAAAAUGUAUUACCAAACUUCACCUACUAUAGUCAAAAACACCUUGUAACAUAGUAAAUACAUAUUAAUUACAUGAGUAAAUUAAAUGUGUGUCAAAUUACAUUAAGUUGCUUGUUCUUGCUCAGAAACAUUGUAUUUACAAUACUUUUUUUAUAACAACAUGGUAAUACCUUAGCUUUUGCUAUACCCUGCAAAAUAUUUAAUAAUAUUGAAAGUACAUAGUAAUUACACCUAAAGUUGCUGUAAUAACGUGUUUUCUACAUUGAGAUGGAUUCAAGUACUGUAUUGGGUGUCUGUGUCAGCCAUCAUUGUAACAUAGUAACUACAUAGUAAUUGCAUGAGUAAUACACACUGCGUUUCACUUUACAUUAAGUUGAUUGUUCCUGUGUAGAAACAUUGCAGUUACUAUACUUUUCUUUAUAAUGACAUUAUAAUAACUGACAUGUUGAUAUAUCCUGUGAAAUAUGUAACUGCAUUAAAAGUAUGUUGUAAUUACACUUUUAGCUGCUGUAACAACAAUUAUUCUACAUUGAAGUGUAUUUUUCCAAUGAUUGUAAUAAAAACUACUGUGUUUCACUUUA